CUCAAAAAAAAAAAAAAAAAAAAAAAAAAUUCAUAUAUGUAAAAUGCUUAGAAAUACAUGGCACAUAGUAUUCACUCAAUACAUGUUUUAUUAUUGUUAUUAUUAAUCGUGUGAUCCACAGGGAUGAGCCAAGCACUCUGGACAACCAUCCCAGGCUCCAAAGACAGGACAAUGACAUGGGUUCUGAGACUUAAGUUCCAACAUCCCCUUGACCUCCCAGUUCUAAUUGGUCAGGUCCUAUCUUCCCUGCUGAAUUGUUUGCUUCUUGUGUCCUCAGGAAAUUGAGGCACAGAGAGGUCAUAAAGCAAGGCCUCAAACCCCAGCAAGAACCCAGGCAGCUCUCCUGGGGCCGUGUCCCUAGGCCCCCCACAGAUCCUGGCACCCAGUGGUCAUGGGGGCUCCAUGAGCCUUUCUUCGCUGAGUGGAGGCCUUUCCACUCCUUCCCCCCGUCUUAUUCUCUUCAUCUGUUCAUAGUCAAGGUUGUGGAAUUGUAGAGUCGGGCACAAGCCUUGAUGUUCAAAUAGUUCAAGCCUCUAUUUGACCAAUAAGAGCAAAAGGCCCAGAGAAGCUAAACACAAGAGCAUACGGCCAGUUAUUGGCAGGAGUCGGGGCUGAGGAGCCUCCCCUUUUCCAAAUGGUGCCUUGCUGGCGUUUGAAAGUGUUUGCCUGAUAGAAUAAACAGGAGCAUAAAAUGGUUUUUCCAGCAGAAUGCUAAGUUCUCCAAAGUUGGGGUCUUCUGUGCUAGCUCGGGGUUCCUGCCAGGGUUCUCUUCAUCCAGAGCAGUCAGUAAAUGCUUCCCCAGUCUCCUGUCGUGCUUUCUGGAAGCACAGCAUUGGCUGAACGUCUGUCAGGUAGCAGGGGUGGCCUUAGGUGCCUUCGCAUAUGAGAUCUCAUUGAAUUUUCACUUAAAUAUGAAACUGAGUUCUUCAUAAGAACUCCUCAUUCUCAUCCCCAUUUUGUGAGAAAGUCAAAACAGUGGCAGGAGUAGCCUUGCACAGUUUCACACAGGUGGAAUGUUUUCUGAGCCUGGAUUCAUGGGUCUUGCACAGUUUCACACAGGUGGAAUGUUUUCUGAGCCUGGAUCUGUGGGUCUUACACAGUUUCACACAGGUGGAAUGUUUUCUGAGCCUGGAUCCAGGGGUCUUGCACAGUUUCACACAGGUGGAAUGUUUUCUGAGCCUGGAUCCACGGGUCUUGCACAGUUUCACACAGGUGGAAUGUUUUCUGAGCCUGGAUCCGUGGGUCUUGCACAGUUUCACACAGGUGGAAUGGUUUCUGUGCCUGGAUCCACAGGUAAGCUGAGGAGUAGUGCAGAGAGAACUGGUCUGCCGGCGGAGAAAUAGGCCGCGUGGAAAGUGGGGCAGUGAGUUCCUUGGGGGCGGGAGGGGCGGGGACAGGGAAGACUGCCCAGCGCCAGGCCUCUCCUGAGGGCGGCACUGAUCCUACCUCCAACCUUUCACCUUUCACGCUUGAGGGCUGCCUGGCCCUGACAGAAAAGAGGCAAGCGUGCAAAGUGUUCUCACAGGAAACACCAUCGCCCCCUGGUUCCUUCUAGGUUCAGAAAUCGGCUUCCCGCCCCACAGAUGGCAAUUUCUCAUUUUGAAAGCCAGAAUUCUAGAUCCUCAAAAGUUGCUUGUCUUGAAUCCUUUGGACCAGGGGUCAACCCGCUGUUUCUGAAUAGCAGCAGAUAGAAAAUAUUUUCGGUUGCACAGGCCUUUCGGUCUCUGUCACAGCUUCUCAACUUGGCCACUGUAGCACAAGAGCAACUGCAGACAGUCAGUGAAGGACCUGGUAAUCUUCCAA